UGUCGGUAAGUUGUAUGUAGGUUGUAUCUACAUCUCUCCUUUAUUCCAUCAAAAUUCAUAUAUGUAACAGUAAGACAUGGAGGAAUCCAUGGUGAAUUCAACAUUCAACAGGAAAGGUACGAGGAAAUUGGCAAAUUUAAGUUGUUUAGAUUCAAUGGGUAUGCAGUCAAGGAGAAGAAAGGAGGUAAGGGGUAAAAAAGAUUUACAAUGAAGGUUGUGUGAUGGAAUGUGAGGGGCUUGGUAACCCCAUUUGUUGGUCUGUUCUUAAAAAAUUGCUUAGAACGAGAAAAGUUGUUAUUGUUUGUUUCAAGAAUCAGAAUUGGCCAGUGUUAAUGGCAAUGUGAUUUAUGAAUCUAAAUCAAUAAAGGUUUCGCAUUUUUACUUGCCACCAGGUCUGUGGGGCAAUUUUUAUGAUGUGGAACAAUGACACAGUUAUGGUCAAUGUUUUCAAGAUUGGUAUUGAUGGAUGUAUUACACCCUUGGGAUACGGAAACAGUGAAACAUUGGGAAAUUUGGUCGAAUUUUUCAAUGAAACUUCAAGAGAUGUUAAAAAAUACAUAAUUACACACUUAAAACUCAAAAUAUCACAAAAAGCAAGUGCACGCAAUAAGUUUCCUUUGUAUAAGGUCCUAAACCAUUGUGCUAUCUCAAAGAAGUGAUGCAACUGUAUUCAAAAUCAAUUCGUAUCAUUUAUAAAUCUAAGAAAUGAAUUAAAAGUGGAAGACUUGACAUAGAAAUGGAAUUUUGUAAGUUUUUUUUUUCCUGAAAACCCAAGUGUUACUACUAUCAAUAUCGUUGUAUUGACAAUACAUAAUCAAUACAAUGUGAUCCAUUGUGAUUCAUUACAAUAAUAUCGUCGAUAUCCAAAAAUCCCACAACUUCCUGCAAGUUUCAUAUCACUGAGGUGCGAUAUCAAUAAUAUCGGCUGAUGUAUCGGCCAAUAUUGUUGAUAUCGCAAACAGUGGGUUAUGGUUGAAGACAAACAGGUGGGUUUUAGUUUCCUGUCUCGAUUAUUUGUGCUGUAGGGGAAAUUUUCAGGUAGACGAUGAUGGUAGUUUACGGCCUUUAUAAUCCAAGCUUGCAGUCCCAGUUUUGAUCAAAGUGCUUAUGCUAGAUGGAAUCUCCUGUGGUGUGUGUAGAGUGAUCUUAACACAAUCAUAUUUUCUCCUGGGCAGGAGGGGGGUGUUGGUGGGAGUGGGGGAGGAGGGAUCAGGUCUAUAUGAUUCUAUUUGAAAUGAACAAUCUAUCUUAUUUGCCUUUAUGUACUUUGUCAAGAAGGCAUUGAGAGAUGGGAAUUGGGAUCUCCAAGUGGUGGUGGAUGUUUGAGGAGAAACCGGACACUUUUUGGAGGCAUGUGAGUGGGGGAAAUAUGGUGUUGAAGGGAAGAUGGUUUCCCAGGAUUGGUGCUAGCUAGUUCAAGAAGUUUCGAGGUGUGGAAAGCUAUUAGCUAGGUGGGGCACUAGUCCGAUGGCUCCAGCAGAGUUAGUGUGGAAAUCAGGAGGGGUGUUCGUUUUCUGUUUGGUAGAGGAGACAAAUCUGGUUUUGAAUGGAUGCUUGGAUGGAUGAUGUGCCGCUUGCAAUGUUCUAUCAGGCUUUGUUCACUCUUGUGAAUAUCAACGAUGAAUCGAUGAUAAGGUCCAGGACAUUAAUGGUGGGGGAUGUUGUAGUCUAGAAUAUCCAAUUGCAUAACAUUUUGUUGGACACAAUCAAUUUGUUUGCUGAUCGAUUUGGCUGGUUACAAGAAGUUCAUAUAGAUAGUUUGACCAGUGACAGAAAAGUUUGAAGAUGGGCUCCAAAUGCCAGUAUUUUGGCAAGAUCAUUCUUGUUGGUGUUAUUUUUGAGGGUGGUUAAUUCUUCUCCUCGUGUAAAGUUUGGAAGGCCCCAUUGCUUGGGAAUGACUACAAAUAAAAUUCUAAUGUUGGACAACCUAAAUGAGUGCAACAUGGUCUUACCCAACAUGUGUUUCAAAUGUACAGAGGAAACUGUUGAUUGUCCAUUCAUUCAUUUCUCUUUGGUCCUCAUUUGUUGACCAAUUUGGGACCUGUUGGGCUUUUAAGAAGUCCAUCAAUGAAGUGCUGUUGGACUGGUAUGGUGGUCUGUUCAAGGGCUGAUUAGAGAUUUUGUGGAAGAUGAUCUUCCUUUCUGUACUCUGGGGGUGUAGAAGGAGAGAAGAAUGUUCAAAGAUGAGGCCAUACCGAUAGUCUCCUAACAGAAUCCUGCUCAUGGCGAUUAAUUGGGCACUGAAGAGACUAGGGUUCAAGGGGGUGCUGAUCAGCAGAUCUGUUAGCGAGUCUGUCUUUAGUGAUGUUGAAGUUUCUAGCUGCAGUUUUUGCUGGUGGGGCUGGCUUUUUUUUUUUUCUUUUUUCUUUUUUCUGUUGUUUCCCUUUUUUGUUGGCCUGAUAGCGGAGUGACAAGAGGGUAACUUGCUGGUUUGCUAUCUUUGUUUUUGUUUCUCUUUAUUAUUGGAAUCGUCUCCUUUCAAAAUAAUAAUAAUAAUAGGGGGGAUGUUUGGUGGGUCCCUAUUUUAUGCAAGAGAGAGAUUCUUGUCAAUUAUAGAGCUACAGUUGUUUUAGAUGCGUAUUCCAUUGCUAUGAAUGUCAUUGUGAUGCAUUGGUACUUGAACUGCUGAGGCUUCUCACAAGAGAAGGAUUUUCUGUCCUUCCUCUGAGAUCUUACCCAUUCACUGGGGGGACUACACCGUGUAUUUUUCAAGGCCCGAUUAACAGGCCAGACUGGUCAUCAGGUGGGCCAUGCAUGUAUGUCGAUUGUGGGCUGUUAGUAAGUUCCUUCUAAUCAUCCAUUUGUUUUAUACAUGUGGCCUACUGGAUACCAAACUGAAGUGACUUCCAGGCCACAACACAUAUGCUAUUGGCCCUACCUAAUAAAUGGCCUAGACGUCAUACUGUGUGGGGAGAGUGGGUCUUGAAAUCCUACUCUCAGAAGUAGCCUCUGCAUUUUCCUGUCUACUACCAUAGUGAUGUCUAUGUGCAUCUAUAUUUCUCCUAAAAAGCUACAUGCACAUGCAUACAGCCAAAGAGGUGUUCUUAAGAAUCACAUCGGAUGGGUUUGGGCCCAUAAUUCAGUGGUAGACAGCCUGCGUUUCCAGCUUGUAAUCUCGGGUUCUAUCCUAGCUUCUCCCCAAAAAAGAAAAAAAAGAAAAAAAGAAAAGAAAAG